rnacentral:rRNA from 1 species
UACGGAGGUCGCAAGCGUUGUUCGGAAUUACUGGGCGUAAAGCGCGUGUAGGCGGUUUGGUAAGUCGGGUGUGAAAGCCCGGAGCUCAACACCGGAAUUGCAUUCGAAACUGCCGGGCUAGAGUCUCGGAGGGGAGGGCAGAAUUCCCAGUGUAGGGGUGAAAUCCGUAGAUAUUGGGAGGAAUACCAGCGGCGAAGGCGGCCCUCUGGACGAUGACUGACGCUCAGACGCGAAAGCGUGGGGAGCAAACAGG